AGCUCCAAUAGCGUAUAUUAAAGUUGUUGCGGUUAAAAGCUCGUAGUUGGAUUUCUGUCGUCGAGUGGCGCUCCGCCCCUUGUGGUGUGUAGCCGUCAUGCCGUCGGCAUCUUUCUGGGGAGUGUGUCUGCACUUCACUGUGUGGCGCAUCAGCCAGGACUUUUACUUUGAGGAAAUGAGAGUGUUUCAAGCAGGCGCACGCCGUGAAUACGUUAGCAUGGAAUAAUAGCAUCGGACCUCGCUCCAAAGCUGUUGGUUUCUUGGGUCGAGGUAAAGGUGAAUAGGGAUUGUUGGGGGCAUUCGUAUUUAACUGUCAGAGGUGAAAUUCUUGGAUUUGUUGAAGACGGACUACUGCGAAAGCAUCUGCCAAAGAUGUUCUCA
rnacentral:rRNA from 1 species